UGAGCUGGGUAACUAUUUCUGGUUUUUCAUAAAAGUUCUCAGUGCACCACCAUUUGUAACGCACUGAAUUGCUUUGAUAGAUGUCUCGUGAGUUGCACCAAAUUGCCGGAGUAGCACAUUCCCGGGCAGGCAAAUACAUCUCAAAUCCCCAAAGCCUGGCCGGCAUUGAAAAACCAGAAAUAGUUACCCAGCUCACGUGGGUGCUUAGAAACCAUCAAGCCAAAAGUAAACGACAUUACCAAGGACAAAAUUCUGUUUCCCAUGUUUUAAGAGUCAACAAUUAUAUCUAAGUAACUUUAAACAACUAGGAUUUAACACCUAAUCACCGAAAUUAAGGCACAUGUAGCAUUGACCCUAAGCCUAAUGCUCCAAACUCAAAUGAAAAUUUUACAAACUCCAACAAAGAGAGCCUCCUCCCUUUAUAGGAUUUCCCAACUCUCGCUUCAACCCUCAAUGCAGUCCACCAUUUCAGAUUUAGCGUAUUCAUUCCUAUCUGUUCUUUUCUUGUUUUCUUUUUACCUAUGCUAGUUUUCAGUUUCAAAGUUACAUAUACAAAGCUAAGUGUUUCUCACUCUCAUUUAGCUUCGGAUUCGACUUGCUGGAUCUCGAAUCUUUUGCUCCC
rnacentral:misc_RNA from 1 species